CCCGCUGUAGCUCAGUUGGUAGAGCAUGGCGCUUGCUACGCCAGGGUUGUGGGUUCGAUUCCAACAGGGGGC
rfam:Salmo salar isolate Sally breed double haploid chromosome ssa16, whole genome shotgun sequence.